GCGGGCGGCCCCUCCCUGGGGCCGCUGCCUCCCUCGGGGGGUGCCCGCCGGCGUACCAAAACUCUUUUGUAUUUUAGUGGCCUCUCUGAGAAAACAAGCAAAUAAGUUAAAACUUUCAACAACGGAUCUCUUGGUUCUGGCAUCGAUGAAGAACGCAGCGAAAUGCGAUAAGUAAUGUGAAUUGCAGAAUUCAGUGAAUCAUCGAAUCUUUGAACGCACAUUGCGCCCGCCAGUACUCUGGCGGGCAUGCCUGUUCGAGCGUCAUUUCAACCCUCAAGCCCUGCUUGGUGUUGGGGUCCUACGGCUGCCGUAGGCCCUGAAAGCUAGUGGCGGGCUCGCUAUAACUCCGAGCGUAGUAGUAAAAUAUCUCGCUAGGGAGGUGUCGCGGGUUCCGGCCGUGAAAGCCCAUCUUUUACACAAGGUUGACCUCGGAUCAGGUAGGAAUACCCGCUGAACUUAAGCAUAUCAAUAAGCGGAGGAAAAGAAACCAACAGGGAUUGCCCCAGUAACGGCGAGUGAAGCGGCAACAGCUCAAAUUUGAAAUCUGGCUUCGGCCCGAGUUGUAAUUUGUAGAGGAUGCUUUUGGUGAGGUGCCUUCUGAGUUCCCUGGAACGGGACGCCAGAGAGGGUGAGAGCCCCGUAUAGUUGGACACCGAGCCUCUGUAAAGCUCCUUCGACGAGUCGAGUAGUUUGGGAAUGCUGCUCAAAAUGGGAGGUAUAUCUCUUCUAAAGCUAAAUACUGGCCAGAGACCGAUAGCGCACAAGUAGAGUGAUCGAAAGAUGAAAAGCACUUUGAAAAGAGGGUUAAAUAGUACGUGAAAUUGUUGAAAGGG
rnacentral:rRNA from 1 species